rnacentral:rRNA from 1 species
CCAACAAAAAUAAUGAAGGCCGCACGCCGGCUGCGUGCUCCGGACCAGUUUGCGCUGGGGCUGAAUUUGUUUUUCUUCACCCAUGUCUUUUGCGUACUUGUUGUUUCCUGGGCGGGUUCGCUCGCCACCAGGACCACACGAUAAACCUUUUUCUUGCAGUUGCAAUCAGCGUCAGUAACCAUUAAUGUUAAAUCAUUUACAACUUUCAACAACGGAUCUCUUGGUUCUGGCAUCGAUUGAAGAACGCAGCGAAAUGCGAUACGUAGUGUGAAUUGCAGAAUUCAGUGAAUCAUCGAAUCUUUGAACGCACAUUGCGCCCUUUGGUAUUCCAAAGGGCAUGCCUGUUCGAGCGUCAUUUGUACCCUCAAGCUUUUGCUUGGUGUUGGGCGUCUUUGUCUUGCAAAAGACUCGCCUUAAAACGAUUGGCAGCCGGCCUACUGGUUUCGGAGCGCAGCACACUUUAUUUUUGCGCUUGCAACCAGCCAAAGAGGCCGGGCAUCCAUCAAGUCCAUGCAUUUUUUCAMACGUUUGACCUCGGAUCAGGUAGGGAUACCCGCUGAACUUAAG